AUGGAUAUCAAGGGUCACAAAUUUGGAGAUGUUAAUUUUAAGAAGCAAUCAACUCAGCGGACCAAUACCAGGCUGGAUCAACUCCCUAAACCAUCUCUCCUUUAUGGAUGUGUCGAACAACACCUUAUAGGAGAAAUCACAUUAACCUUGAUGGAGAUGCCAAUGCUAAAAUCAACUGAGAACUCAAGUCAUUUGGGCCCAAGGGUCUUUGAGCUGCCUCUUUAUAUUGAUCCAUCACUUCAAUACCUUGCAGAUACAUCUUUCCCACUAGUGUUGAAUCUAAGCAACAACAACUUCACAGGUGUGAUUCCCCCACAGAUUGGUCAGUUGUUGAAAGUUCUUGUUGCACUUGAUUUCAGCUUCAACGAGCUAUCAGGACAGAUCCCAGAAUCAGUACACAAUCUCACAAACCUGCAAGUCCUAGACUUGUCCAACAACAAUCUCACAGGUGCAAUCCCAGCUGCAUUGAACAGCUUGCACUUCCUUGCAGCGUUUAAUGUUUCUGGCAAUGACUUAGAAGGCCCUUCCAUCUGGAGGACAGUUCAACACAUUUGA
rnacentral:rRNA from 1 species